rnacentral:ncRNA from 1 species
UGCGCAGCGCAUGCUUCAGCACCACCGCAUUGAAACUCAAUCCCUUGAGCCGGGCCGUGCGGAUAUAUUGCGCCGUCAUCACCUCGACCAUCGAGGCGCGCGUCAUGCGGGCAAUGUAGCCCAUGCCGUAUAUGGCGAGCGUCAUCACCGGCAGCGUGAAAUUGACGAAGGUGAUGC